AGGGGAUCGCCUUGCCAUAACAGGUUUUAAGGGGAAGGGAUCUAAGAGAGAAGGGAAAAAUGGACAGGAUCAGACAAUAGAAAGUGUUUCAAUUGUGAUAAGACAGGACAUUUCACCAGGGAGUGUAAGGCUCCCUGUAAACAUUGUGACCGAGUAGGGCACAGCCACCGAAACUGCAAACAUAAGGGGAAGAACAGGCGCAACAACCGGGAGAGAAAGAGAGAGAUGGAGACAACGAGAGCAAGAGUAAUGAGAGUUGUCGCCUGAGUAACGCUUGGAUCUUUAAAAUUUUAUGCCCAACAGGAGAGUUGCAGAAGGAGAUAACACACAAGAUCCAACCAGGAGAAUGGGUCUGGGUCCAAUCCCUAAAGAAAAAAGACUGGAAACAGCCACGGUGGGACGGACCAUACCAACUGCUACCUAUCCAAUAUACAGCAAGGUCUAUGGCAAAGGAAGAGUGCUAUGCCUGUGCAACAGCUAAACGCUGAUUAACGACUACCCCGUUCCCACUUGAUGGAACCAAUUCACAUGGAGGAGUAGCGUGUAUGAUCCUCUGGGUUGGGUUGGCACCCCCCUUGGGUUGUGCCGUGGCGGAGAUCUUUGGGCUAUACUUUGCCUUGUCUCAGGAUGAGGACACUAGGACCAUACCUCAGGACUACCUGGCAUGAUGACUCCUUACUGUCCCCAGUCCACCUGGCCGUGCUGCUGCUCCAGCUUCAACUGUUCUGCCUGCGGCUAUGGAACCCUGACCUGUUCACCGGACGUGCUACCUGUCCCAGACCUGCUGUUUUCAACUCUCUAGAGACAGCAGGAGCGGUAGAGAUACUCUCAAUGAUCGGCUGAAAAUCCAACUGACAUUUACUCCUGAGGUGCUGACUUGUUGCACCCUCGACAACUACUGUGAUUAUUAUUAUUUGACCAUGCUGGUGAUUUAUGAACAUUUGAACAUCUUGGCCAUGUUCUGUUAUAAUCUCCACCCGGCACAGCCAGAAGAGGACUGGCCACCCCUCAUAGCCUGGUUCCUCUCUAGGUUUCUUCCUAGGUUUUAGCCUUUCUAGGGAGUUUUUCCUAGCCACCGUGCUUCUACACCUGCAUUGCUUGCUGUUUGGGGUUUUAGGCUGGGUUUCUGUACAGCACUUUGAUGUAUCAGCUGAUGUAAGAAGGGCUAUAUAAAUACAUUUGAUUUGAUUUAGGCAGGCCCACAUUAUUUUAGCCAUGCAGGUCCCAUUUUGGAUGAGUGUAAAACACUCCAUAGUCUGCGUUGUCUUAAUAUUAUAUGAUGGUGCCUGUAAGUGUGACAUAGCCUAUUAAAAACAAGUAGUUGUUUUGUUUAGAAUUUGAUUAGAAUGACUUGUUCUCUUUUUAGGCCUUAUCAAUAAUGAAUUGAAUCUUGCUUAUUGACAGUGUUUGAAAUGUUCAUGCUCAUCCAUAAUGUACUUUACAGUAGGCCUAGCCCGAUAUCAGUGCGAAUGCUAUUGGAGCCAUGCAAUAACUUAGAACAAUGUGGACUGCAGAUGGGUUCAAGUGAACCUAUUUAGCAAAGACGGGAUAGGUCUACAUUUUGUUAUUUCGUUUCUGUAAGCCAUUUAACAAACUAUAACGGACUAUAUCAUUGGAAUUGGAGUUGUUUCCAAAGCAAUACAUACAAGACCGUAUAUACACCAUGGAGCACGUUCUGAUUGGCCAGUGAGGGGCUAAGCUUCGACACCCACAACUUGUUAAUUCAUCAAAACUCAGCCCUUUUGCACCAAUGCCAGAAUGUGCGCCAAUUGUGAUAGUGAAAAUAUAACAAAUAUUUCUGACACACCACUGAACCUAUAGCUCUACCGCCUGUUCUUAGAUUUAUCAUUGCGUUAAGUUUUAUUACAAUAGAGCCCUUAGGGUCAGACUGUUAAUUAUUUCAUAAAGCUGACUGCCAAUCUUUGUCAGACCUUGUGUUGGAGGAGAAAAAGUAUGAUGAGUCCCUCACUAUAUAUAUAUAUAUAUGAGUGUAUGAAACAAUAGGAACACCUUCCUAAUAUUGAGUUGCACCCCCUUUUGCACUCAGAACAGGCUCAAUUCGUUGGGGCCUGGACUCUAUACAUGAAGAUAGGAGAGGAGUCUGUUCCACUCUGCCAUCAUGACAUCCAUCCCCAUCACUUUAUUGUCCAUGUGCACCCCAGCAAGAAUGGAAUCAUGAUAUUUGCAAAAGCCCUGAAAGACAGAGAAAGAGAAAGAGAGAACCACCUCCAAUAACUACAAGGCCAGAGACUGCCCAGCCUGGAGCCCCAGGGCCAUUCCACAGCACACAAGGAGCUAAAAGCUGCAUGUAGCCCACGACACCCCUGGUCCCAGGCUACAUUCUGGGUUCUGGCCCACUGGCUGCUGAAGAUUCUGGGGGAGGUCUACUCGCCUCUGUAUGUACUAGCUCACUGGCCAUCGCGGAAGGUUCUGGAGGACCACUAGCUUUCCAAGGUUAGGGUACGUAGGGUAACCUGGGAAAGAAGUCUGGUUGCCCCCUGGGAAUGGGCCUGGCUGGCUGCAUGGGCUGCUGCAGACCUGAAAGACUGGACGUGAGUAAGGAUCGUGGAUUGGAGGGAAGAGGUCCCUGAAGCAAUAACAGUUGGUUGUAUUCAUUAAUGUCAUAUUGGGUGGAAGCUACUAAAGUUUUAAGGAAGUAUUCUUUAAUGUAAAGUACAUUUAAAUUUAUAACAAUAAUAGCCGGUGUCAAAAAAUGUAAGGAAUUGCCGUAGAUCGUACAGUCAUGUCCUCCCAAUCAAUAACAGUCAUAUGGGGUGGACGGUAUUUAAGUUUUUAGCAAGUUUUUUAAUAUAUUUUUUUACAUAUACUAAAAUUAAUUUAAAAUAGCCAAAGUAAAAACAUUUUUAAAAAGUAAUUGCCGUAGAUGGGAGGGAAGAGGUCCCUAAACCAAUAACAAUUGGUUGUUUUCAUGCAAGUGAUAUACGGUAGAAGCUAUUGCUGUAUUAAGGAAGUGUAUUUGGCAUAUUCUGAUAUUAAAUUAAUUGAAAAUAGCCAAAGUUCAAAAAUACAACUGUCAUUUCCAUAGAUUGUACAGACGAAGUCCCUGAAUCAAUAACAAUUGGUUGUAGUAUUCAUGCAAGCUAUAUGGGGUUGAAGCUAUAUAUGUUUUAAGGAAUUAUUGUUUUUAACAAAUUAAAACAUUUUAUUAAUUGGAAACAGCCAAAGUAAAAAAAAUAAAGAAGCAUUUGUAAUAUUUCUAAGUCAUGUGGUAAGAAAUCUAUUGAAGUCUUUCUGUUAGCAUUAGGUUUCAAUUGCCCUUUUAAGACGGUCCCUUAGCUGUGACUACACUUAGAAAUUUGUAUUUUAUUUUUAUUUUUUAUUUUUUUUACAUAUGAUAUUAAAUUAAUUGGAUGGGAGAGUAGAGGUCCCUGAAUGUAUUUCAGUUGGGUUGAGUUCUCUUUCAUUUGGUUACAAAGCUAUUUAAGUUUUUCAGUUAACACUACAUUUUAAUUGCACUUUAAGCAGUGGCGUGUAUUCAUGGAUGCCAAGGGAAGCCAGGCUUCCCCCCCCAAAAUUGACCAAACAUUAAUUUAAAAAAUGGACAAUGGCAAUAACAUCCGCUAAAUAUGUGUAUGUGACCAACGUUUUUAUUUUUUUAUUUUAUGCAAUAUGCUUUGUGGACUUCACUGGACAGAGGUUGCUAUCUGGUUUUGUGAUUUAAAAAAAAGUGUGGUUGAAUUUAUUCUGUCACUGUCUUAUUGUCUCGGCCUUUAGGCCUAUAUAUCACGGUCGCAAGGCCGAUUAAGUAACCGGUUAUAGAGCAAACAAGCAAUUAUCACAACACAGGUUGUACUUUUUUGCAGGGAGGGGGGUUUAUCCUCGCACUACUACUGCUUUUAAGACAGUCCCUUAGCUGUGACUACACGGAUAAUCAGCCAUAGAAAUGUACAUAAAAUAUUUUUGGGGAAAACAGAACGGAACAGAAUACUCAAUAGUGUUGCUGUGGACACUGGAUACUCUGACUAACACACACACCUGUUUGACCUUGCUGUGAUACCUUAGGCCUACUUAUGUUACUUUUCUGAGUCAAUUCAGGUAGCAUUCAAUAUCCUGCAUGCAUUUUUGUUAAACCAUGGCAACCAGCAUUGCAAAUGAAGAGAUGUGCAUAAAUAUAAUCAUCCUCUGUCUGUAGAUCCUUUCCCCUUAAUGUAUUUGUCAUGUCAGCCAGGCCAAUCUUUUCAAAGUAACAAUAUCUAGUUGAG
ensembl:lncRNA